ACGGCCGUACCAUGCUGAAUAUACCGGUUCUCGUUAGAUCACCGAAGUUAAGCAUCAUUGGGCGCGGUCAGUACUUGGGUGGGUGACCACCUGGGCACACUGCUUGCCGU
rnacentral:rRNA from 1 species